AACGAACGCUGGCGGCAGGCCUAACACAUGCAAGUCGAGCGGACCUUUCGGGGUCAGCGGCGGACGGGUGAGUAACGCGUGGGAAUAUGCCCUUCUCUACGGAAUAGUCCUGGGAAACUGGGGGUAAUACCGUAUACGCCCUUUGGGGGAAAGAUUUAUCGGGGAAGGAUUAGCCCGCGUUGGAUUAGGUAGUUGGUGGGGUAAUGGCCUACCAAGCCGACGAUCCAUAGCUCGUUUGAGAGGAUGAUCAGCCACACUGGGACUGAGACACGGCCCAGACUCCUACGGGAGGCAGCAGUUGGGAAUCUUAGACAAUGGGGGCAACCCUGAUCUAGCCAUGCCGCGUGAGUGAUGAAGGCCUUAGGGUUGUAAAGCUCUUUCAGCUGGGAAGAUAAUGACGGUACCAGCAGAAGAAGCCCCGGCUAACUCCGUG
rnacentral:rRNA from 1 species